CCAGAAGCAGCUGCAUCUCAGCAGGGGCCCUUCCAUCAACGUGACAACCUGCUGAGGGCUUUGGAUCACCUCCAGAUGUGAGGCAUGUUGAGGCUAUAAAACAAAAUCAUUAGCAUUAUCUCCAUUCUUGGCCCGAGAGUCUCAGCUGAGAAUGUUUCUUGUACAGAUUUAGAGCUUUAAUUAUUCUCAUUUUUCUUCCUGGGUAGCUUCCUUUAGACAGCAUGGGAUCUUCUCUCGGAGUUGGUUUUCCUAAAAAGAAAGAAAAAGAAGAGCCCACACUGAAUAACAUCUUUUGGUGCUGUGAAAGCCAGCCAACAUGGUGAAAACUUCUUGAGAAGUACCAACUUGAUCACUUUAAAUCCCAUGAAGAAAGUAUGUAGUGUCUUCAGCAAUAAGCUCUUACCAUCAGACUGUGGUGGACAACUAUCUGUGGGACCCCUCUGACCAACAAAUUAAAGGGAGAAGUCACUUACAUGAGAAACCUAUGACCCACAAUUUCCAGCUCCAAGGAUCCACAUCCAGAUGUUCCAUGACCCAACUGGAACCAAGAGAGAGCAAGCCUGUUCCAGACCCCAGACCAAAUCCCACAAGCUCAUGUAUGCACCUGUGACCAUGCCCAUUUGUAUGUUCAUGGUUGAUGAACCACCUAUCUGAGACCUCCGGAGAUGCUUCUUGUCAACGUGCUUUGUGAUUUGGCUCAGAAUCACAUUUUGGUGGCGGAUGUGGUAUUAUGAAUGUUCUAGAGGGGAGAGUGCUGUGCCAGGAAGCCAAGCCAAUUGAAAGUGAAGUGAAAAUUCAGAAUUAUGGAGAUUUAAUUUCCUGCUGAAUAAUUCUCCACAAGCUGUGUAAACUUCUCUUCCCUGAACAAAUACUCAGAAUAAAAUACCUUAGAUGCUCUUUUCCUUUUUAAUAAGAAAGUGUUCGAAUUAUUUGGAUGUAGAGUCAAGGGUAACAGAAGCCUGGUGUGCCCCAGCCCAAUUUGUGUAAGUCACCAAGAAUCCUGCAGUGCCCUUGGCUCACAGAGUUUGGAAGACUGGGUGUGAAGAAUUAUUUCCAGAGGUUGUUUGCCACAAAAAGCAUUAUUGAUUAUCUGUGGGAUAGUUCCUUGUAGCCUA
rnacentral:lncRNA from 1 species